CCGUCCUCGGGAAUUCGAUUCAGGCCUAACCCAUGCACCUCCCUCGGUAGCACAGGGAGCUUGCUCCUGGGUGACGACCGGCGGACGGGUGAGUAAUGUCUGGGAUCCUGCCUGAUUGAGGGGGAUAUCUCCUGGAAACGGUAGCUAAUCCCCCUUUCCGUCGCAAGACCAAUGAGGGGGACCUUGGGGCCUCUUGCCAUCAGAUGUGCCCUGAUGUGAUUACCUAUUAGGUGGGGUAAGGGCUCACCUAGGCCCCGAUCCCUCGCUGGUCUGAGAGGAUGACCAGCCACACUGGACAUGAGACAUCGGUCCAGCCUCCUACGGGAGGCAGCAGUGGGGAAUAUUGCCCAAUGGUCGCAACCCUGAUG
rnacentral:rRNA from 1 species